rnacentral:tRNA from 1 species
GCUUCUGUAGUGUAAGGUAACACACUCGAUGCGCAUUCGAGAUUUCUAGGUUCGAAUCUCGGUAAGGGCA